rnacentral:lncRNA from 1 species
UGAAUGGAAUAAAGAGAGGGAAGGCAGAAGAGGACUGUCAAGAAGAUCUCUGAUCUUCUCCUUUGGAGUGCUGGCAGCAAAGGAAGACAAUUGGGCUGCAGAACUACAGAGCUGAAUAAGCUUGUUGCCUCCUUCACCACCAGGAACAAAAUAGAAGCAGAGCUGCCACGUGUCCUGAAAGUAUGAAGGGUCUCCUUCCCUGAUUUUCACAUCCCCCUGGUACCUGUCACCAUUCCUUGCACCUUGCCCAGAGACGUACAUAAGAAAUUAAUUCCUCUCAGUGGUGGUAAGUAUUUCUCUGACUUCCUGGAAGAUUUACCCAGAUUUAAUAGAUAUACUCUGAAA